CAACUUUUAACAACGGAUCUCUUGGCUCUCGCAUCGAUGAAGAACGCAGCGAAAUGCGAUAAGUAAUGUGAAUUGCAGAAUUCAGUGAAUCAUCGAAUCUUUGAACGCACCUUGCGCUCCUUGGUAUUCCGAGGAGCAUGCCUGUUUGAGUGUCAUA
rnacentral:rRNA from 1 species